rnacentral:sRNA from 1 species
AAGAGAGGGGACAGCAGGUGCGUCUGGUUUACAGCGUCGCUGAAGAUACCUUGACCUGUGGACUCAGUUCCUUUUGUGCAGCAUUUCCAGUGACUUUUAUUCUCCUGCAUUCCGCCAAACAGAUUACCUAAAACCUCGGGCAGAAGAGGAGAGGAGGAUAGCAGCAGAGGAGAAGAAGAAGCAGGAUGAACUGAAACGAAUUGCCAGAGAAUUGGCAGAAGAUGACAGCAUAUUAAAGUGAGUGACC